AACGAACGCUGGCGGCAGGCUUAACACAUGCAAGUCGAACGAGAUCUUCGGAUCUAGUGGCAGACGGGUGAGGAACACGUGGGAACAUCCCUUUCAGUUCGGAAUAACGUUGGGAAACUAACGCUAAUACCGGAUACGUCCUUCGGGAGAAAGAUUUAUCGCUGAAAGAUUGGCCCGCGUCUGAUUAGCUAGUUGGUGAGGUAACGGCUCACCAAGGCUACGAUCAGUAGCUGAUCUGAGAGGAUGAUCAGCCACAUUGGGACUGAGACGCGGCCCAAACUCCUACGGGAGGCAGCAGUGGGGAAUAUUGGACAAUGGGCGCAAGCCUGAUCCAGCCAUGCCGCGUGAGUGAUGACGGCCUUCGGGUUGUAAAGCUCUUUUGUCCGGGAAGAUAAUGACUGUACCGGAAGAAUAAGCCCCGGCUAACUCCGUGCCAGCCGCCACCGUAACAC
rnacentral:rRNA from 1 species